UGCAUUACGUCAUCUGAGUUCGACCGAAGAAGAACGAAACGGCCUGAGGGUACCGAGCUUUUUACAGCUUUUCAGUUGUGUUAGAGCGGUGUGACAGAGUGCUGGGUUUUACAUGUGGAUCACAGCAACCGAAAAUAGUACGCAGCUUAAAAAGAAGAAACUGAAACGGAACUAUUUUGGUAUCCGAAAAUGACAGCCUCAGAACUCACUAAGGAAAUGGUUGGAAUUGGAGAAAUAUUUUGCAAUUUGGACAGUUUUGGAAAAAGAUAAGUGAAAUUUUUUAUUCUUUUGUGUUUCCAUACGGCUUGCUUUUCAUAAAACUAGGAAUUUUUCUUAAUUAAGCAAGAGUCAGUCGUCAUUGAAAAAUUUUCACUUAGGGUAAGAUAUAUGUACCUUUUUCUUCAUUAUUUUUUAAAACUAUCGAAAAAAGAGUAUCAACACAAAAUUCCAACAAUAAGGUUACUUUUUAAAUUUAACAAUUUAAGCGUUCAUAAAUGUAUUUAACAUUUUUAGAAGCAAAAAAUUUUAAAAGCAUACAAAACAGAAAAUAAUCCAAUGAUUACUGCAUACUUUAAAUAUUCAAUUGGAAUUUUAAACUUAACAAAAUUUCAUCUAUAACUGAGAAAAGCUUUUUUUCCGAGUGUAAUUUUCUUUUCUUUCUUUUCCGAAUACUUGCUCUCUCUGCCAGACAAAAAUAUUGCUAAAGGAUCUGUUUUUAUUAAUUGUGUAAUUGAUAAAGUGUGAAUUUAUUUUUUAAUUGGUACUGGGUAAGUCUUUUUUUGAAUGGCAAUUGCGUUUUAUUGCAAUUUCAUUUUUCGGUACAAUUAAGUUAAAAUUAGACAAAAAUUAUCUCAUUAGUUGUAGGUAGUUGGUUUAAUUAUUUAUUCUGGCAUACUUAUUCGAAAUUUGGUUAUUACGGCUCACGUCUUCAGAAUUAUGUUAUGAAAUUUGAGCAGAAUUUAUCUGAUUUUUUUUGUAUUUCAUUCGAUUUCAAGAAGUAACUGUUGAACAGAAAGCUCUCGAUAAUAAAUAACACGAUUAUCUAGGUUUGACGGUCGCGGGAAGGUUAUUUUGCCCAUAUUGUGUUUAUUAGUGUAUUCGUGUGAAUACUUGUUUGCUCGACAAAGAAAUACGAAAUUUUAUUAAGAAAUUAAUCAUAGAUGUUUAGUUCUGUGCGUUCAUUUUUGUUAGACGGGUGUGGUUUUUAACUCUAGAUUAUUAUCAACUGUAUUUUGGAUUAAUAAUUUCUGAAAAAAUAUUCUAAACCAAAACUACAAUGCCUCAAGAUGUUUUCUAAGAAAAUGGUCGCAAUUUUGGAGUGUCUACUUGUUGAUAAUUUGGACAAUUUUGGUUAGUCGCAACAUAAAAAAGAUAAAAUGGCUCCACUUUUGGAGUAUCUACUUGCUCGCAAAUUGGACAAUUUUGGUUAAUCGCAGCAUAAAAAAGAUAAGUUAACACUUUUUUAUAUUUUUAUUUAAUUAUGUACAGGAUGCAUUUUCUAAUUUGAUACCACCCUUUAUCUUCAUAAAAAGCUUACGAAAUUGAUAUUUAAAGUACUAACCUCACGCUAAAAAAUUUUCCUGAA